AGCCCUCUCAUUUCAUUCGCCGAACCACCCUCCACCCUCCCUUCCCCAAAGCAGCGCAUACGCCAGUUUCAUCUGCUUUUAUCUCAAGCAAUUGAUUCGCCCCAAUUUCACGAAGUGCUGUCUUGGAGCUUUCAUGGCUUCAAGCAGCAGAGUAUUGGAUUAUUUCUUCUCAGAGAUGCCACAUUUUUUCAAGAUAAUGAAUGAAGACAUACUCAGAUAUAAAUUUGUAAACCAAGAAAGUUCAUGAGAAGAUACGGAAUCAACCUGCUGAACAUGGUGAUCCUUAGGGUUCCAAGUGGUGCAGUUUGGCAUAUGGCAUUAUUGAAGGAAGAUGACGAUGUUUGGUUAUACCAUGGAUGGAGAGAAUUUGUGGAGUAUUAUUCUUUAGAAUUUGGUCACGUAGUGGUGUUUCAACAUAAAGGAUCUGAUGAAUUCAAUGUACUUAUAUUUGACAAGAGUGCCACAGAUCCAGUAUCCAUUCUGCCAUGCUGUCUGCAGUGAGGAGCCACAAUCUGAUGGAGAGAUGAAGCAUCUGAAGAUGAUGAUUCUGUUCCAAUCUUAGAGGGCUUCACCACUAGCCGAGGAGCUGGAAAGAGGUCAAUCAUUAAAUCUCCUCAUCCUUAUUGUUCUGGCAAAGAAUUUGGAGGUGGAGGUAUGUCUACUGGUUGCAGAAGGGGGAAAGCUCUGGUUGUUUACAGACCACGUGCAUUCACAUGGAAGGAAAAGGCUGAAGCCUUCAAGAGAGCUAAGGAUUUCCAAUCUGACAAUCCUUCUUGCAUGAUUGCCAUACAACCCCGCUAUGUUCUUGGCAAAUAUGAAUUGGUAAGGUUUCAAUUGAAAUAAUUUGGAAAACUUGCACAAUAAAUGGAACGACUUUUAAUGAUUGAUGGAUUUAUACUCUUUCAUAAUGUUAGAGUAAUUUUUUGUCGAAGAAUUCUGUAAGUGCAUUCUUUUCCCCUUUCUUUUCAAAAAAAAUGCAGGCUAUACUGGUCAACUUUGCCAAAAAGCAUCUUCAGAUAAAGCACAGUGAAGUCGUCCUCCAUGGUUCUAAUGGGAGAACUUGGUCUGCAAUCUACAAUUACUAUCCCAACCUAGCAAGGCCCAAGGCAGCAAUCAGUGUAGGCUGGAGGGAAUUUGUCUGUGACAAUGGUAUAAAACUUGGAGAUGUUUGUGUAUUUGAGUUGAUUGGGACCCGUGGAAUCACACUGAAUGUUUUUAUUUUCUGAGGUGUGAUUCUAUUGUCAGACUAUUUCUUAUUCUAGCUAGUAUGUAACUAUGGAUAGGUGGAAUGUGCAUCAAUGAGAUGUACAAAAUGCCUUCGUAAAUGGAGAUUUGGAGGAAGAUAUAUACAUACAUGGAAGUGUUCCUCUAGGCUACUAAGGCGAUAACAAGAAGUAUUUAUGUAAAUUGAAAAAUUCUAUCUAUGGUU